rnacentral:lncRNA from 1 species
GAACACUUCGUGUGCGACAACGGCAGAUGCGUCCACAAGCGUGAUGAAUGCGACGGUUUUAACAACUGCGGGGACUUGAGUGAUGAGAAGCAUUGCGCGUGCCCCUCUGAUCAGAAGUGCACCAACAGCGGCCGCUGCAUAGACGAGACGUGGCGGUGCGACGGACGCAACGACUGUGGCGACGACAGCGACGAGCGCGACUGCUGCACCGGCGACCACUUCGUGUGUGGCAACGGCAGGUGCAUCCACAAGCGUCAUGAAUGCGACGGCUUGGACAACAACUGCGGGGACUGGAGUGAUGAGAAGCAUUGCGCGUGCCGCUCUGAUCAGUUCAAGUGCGCGCACACCGGCCGCUG